AACGAACGCUGGCGGCAUGCCUAACACAUGCAAGUCGAACGAGACCUUCGGGUCUAGUGGCGCACGGGUGCGUAACGCGUGGGAACCUGCCCUUAGGUUCGGAAUAACUCCCCGAAAGGGGUGCUAAUACCGGAUAAUGUCUGCGGGCCAAAGAUUUAUCGCCUUUGGAUGGGCCCGCGUUGGAUUAGCUAGUUGGUAGGGUAAAAGCCUACCAAGGCGACGAUCCAUAGCUGGUCUGAGAGGAUGAUCAGCCACACUGGGACUGAGACACGGCCCAGACUCCUACGGGAGGCAGCAGUGGGGAAUAUUAGACAAUGGGCGCAAGCCUGAUCCAGCCAUGCCGCGUGAGUGAUGAAGGCCUUAGGGUUGUAAAGCUCUUUUACCCGGGAUGAUAAUGACAGUACCGGGAGAAUAAGCCCCGGCUAACUCCGUG
rnacentral:rRNA from 1 species